rnacentral:misc_RNA from 1 species
AAGUCGCAACAAGGUUUCCGUAGGUGAACCUGCGGAAGGAUCAUUAACACGUCUCCAAAAUCAAGAACGAAAGUUGGGGGCCGUCGUAGUCAACUAUAAACUAUGCCAACUAGGGAUGGGUGGAUGUUGCUUUUUCGACUUCAUCCGCACCUUAUGAGAAAUCAAAGUCUUUGGGUUCCGGGGGCGAGCACCCCUCGGGUCCCUAAAGCGUGGAAUGAAGAAUGAUGACACACUAUUUAUGAUAGCGCUGACUAGAUCAGCAACCCGAACUGGGAACAAUGGAUAUCUUGGUUCUU